rnacentral:rRNA from 1 species
UACGAAGGGGGCUAGCGUUGCUCGGAAUCACUGGGCGUAAAGCGUGCGUAGGUGGUUUUUUAAGUCCGUUGUGAAAGCCCUGGGCUCAACCUGGGAAUGGCAGUGGAUACUGGAAAGCUAGAGUGCGGUAGAGGGUAGUGGAAUUCCCGGUGUAGCAGUGAAAUGCGUAGAGAUCGGGAGGAACACCAGUGGCGAAGGCGGCUACCUGGACCAGCACUGACACUGAGGCACGAAAGCGUGGGGAGCAAACAGG